CAGCAGCAGCCACGGGAAUACAGAGGGUGCGAGCGUUAAUCGGAUUUACUGGGCGUAAAGCGUGCGUAGGCGGCUUUUUAAGUCGGAUGUGAAAUCCCUGAGCUUAACUUAGGAAUUGCAUUCGAUACUAGGAAGCUAGAGUAUGGGAGAGGAUGGUAGAAUUCCAGGUGUAGCGGUGAAAUGCGUAGAGAUCUGGAGGAAUACCGAUGGCGAAGGCAGCCAUCUGGCCUAAUACUGACGCUGAGGUACGAAAGCAUGGGGAGCAAACAGGAUUAGAUACCCCAGUAGUCCCUGUCUCUUAUAC
rnacentral:rRNA from 1 species